rnacentral:misc_RNA from 1 species
GAUGAAGAACGUAGCGAUAUGCGAUAAGUAAUGUGAAUUGCAGAAUUCAGUGAAUCAUCGAAUCUUUGAACGCACCUUGCGCCCGCCAGUAUUCUGGCGGGCAUGCCUGUUCGAGCGUCAUUACAACCCUCAGGCCCCCGGGCCUGGCGUUGGGGAUCGGCGGAGCCCCCCGUGGGCACACGCCGUCCCCCAAAUACAGUGGCGGUCCCGCCGCAGCUUCCAUCGCGUAGUAGCUAACACCUCGCGACUGGAGAGCGGCGCGGCCACGCCGUAAAACACCCAACUCUUCUGAAGUUGACCUCGAAUCAGGUAGGAAUACCCGCUGAACUUAAGCAUAUCAAUAAGCGGAGGA